rnacentral:rRNA from 1 species
UACAGAGGUCCCGAGCGUUGUUCGGAUUCACUGGGCGUAAAGGGUGCGUAGGUGGUGGGGUAAGUCUCGUGUGAAAGCUCGCAGCUUAACUGCGAAAAGUCACGGGAUACUAUUCCGCUGGAGGCUUGGAGGGGGGACUGGAAUACUUGGUGUAGCAGUGAAAUGCGUAGAUAUCAAGUGGAACACCAGUGGCGAAGGCGAGCCCCUGGACAAGACCUGACACUGAGGCACGAAAGCCAGGGGAGCAAACAGG